ACGGAAGGCAGCAGUGGGGAAUAUUGGGCAAUGGGGGAAACCCUGACCCAGCAACGCCGCGUGAAGGAAGAAGGCCUUCGGGUUGUAAACUUCUUUUACCAGGGACGAACAAAUGACGGUACCUGGAGAAAAAGCAACGGCUAACUACGUGCCAGCAGCCGCGGUAAUACGUAGGUUGCAAGCGUUGUCCGGAUUUACUGGGUGUAAAGGGCGUGUAGGCGGAGCUGCAAGUCAGAUGUGAAAUCCCAGGGCUCAACCCCGGAACUGCAUUUGAAACUGUAGCCCUUGAGUAUCGGAGAGGCAAGCGGAAUUCCUAGUGUAGCGGUGAAAUGCGUAGAUAUUAGGAGGAACACCAGUGGCGAAGGCGGCUUGCUGGACGACAACUGACGCUGAGGCGCGAAAGCGUGGGGAGCAAACAGGAUUAGAUACCCUGGUA
rnacentral:rRNA from 1 species